rnacentral:lncRNA from 1 species
UUUGUUAGAACUGAGAAGUAUAUUGAAUAAUAUCCGCCCAACCACCCUCUCUUAGCUCCUCAUAAUGGAGUCUAAGCCAAUUACAAACUCUCUAGAUCCAGCCCAAGGCCAACCAACUAACUGACUCUAUUAUUCUCCUUGGGUCCUCUUAUAUAUUCAAGGCCCAAGUACAAACCAGACUCAAACGACUUACUCAACUGCUCGCUCUACUUCUUCCUCUUUCCCUUCC